UAAUUUUAAGCUCAGAAUAAUUCAUUCUAUUCUUGGGCUAAUUUUAAAUUAUGGACUGAAAUUUUAUUUAGUUGGACCUUACAUGAUUUAUUUAUUUGAGCCCAACUAUUUAUUAUUUAAUCAUUUGGGCCAAGAAUUAUUUAAUUACUAAGCCCAAUGAAUUAUUUCAAUUGGACCUUUCAUUUUAGCUAUCCAGGCCCAUUUCUGCUUAAUUAAUUAUUGGGCUACCUUAUGUUGAGCAUUUUAAUUAUUCGAACUCAUAACAUUUCAAAUUCUCAUUAUUAAGCCCGGUUAAUUAUGAGUUUAUAAAGCGAAUAAGCUGAAGUAUUUAAUUAUUUUCUAUCGACUACGAGAAGCGGGAUUUAUUUAAUCGACGGAUUAGAACACCCUGAAGAGAACGGAUUAAUUUUAGUUAAUUAUCCGGAAUCAUGAGACGAGACUUAGCUUUUGUUUAAAUCCGAUAACCUGGAUUAACAAUAGUAUUUCCCUGAUUAUUAUUUCUGAAUAUUAGUUCAUGCAUACCAGAUUCAUGCAUAGU
rnacentral:lncRNA from 1 species